GUAUUGUCACAUCAAUGGGUGUCACAUAACAUUGAUGAAUCAAAAUGGACACUUGUUGAUGUAUCAUUGUGUCAUUCCAAUGCAAAUUCGUUUAUCUGUUCCCUUUCACAAUUCCAUACAACCAAUGAAACAUGUUGGGAAAAUCAAAAGUCUUGUACCUUACAAAGUAAUUUUAAUGUACUUAGACCGGUAUUUUAUUUAGGGUCUGACAGAGUUUGUUUUCAUUUAUUUAAUUCUGAUACUAUUAUAUUCCAAACACAGGAUAAUGUAUUCGCUAGUUCUCAUUUAUUACCUGGUACCUGGUGUAAUACUAUUCCACUUAAAUAUAUUGCAUCAUCUAAUUGGAAUUUUACCAUGCCCCAAACUCUUAAUAUUACUUUAAAUUUAACAUGGGACCAUGUUAUGAAUUUUUCUGUUUAUAAUUUACCUUUGGGUAUGGGAUCACAAAUGAAGAAAUGGUUAACUGAUUCUACUAUAAUUUCUUCCUUGUUACAAAAUUUAAAACAUAUUUCUGUAGAUACUAAAAUUACAGUUGAACAUGAACAAGGAAUUUUAAAAUCAGCUACUUCUAGUAUUUUACAGGAUGCAAAUAUAUCUUGGUGGGAAUCUGUAUUUGGAUAUAGAUACUCCUAUCUCUCUCUUUUCUUGGUGUCUGGAUGGAAUUCUUUUGAUUUGCACUUGGGCUCUUCUGAAUUGAUCUGCCUGACUACUACUGGACAUGCUGAGGCCUUGUGACAAGUUUACCUAUGGUUGCUGCAAUCGUUACCUGCAACUAACUGUGUCAUCUACUUGUUUCACCCUAUGGUUCUUCCUUGGCCUUUUCAGUGGUUAUAUACACUAUUUGUUCCUGUUUGUAAGCACUAUGAAGAUUACACAUGUAUUUCUUGAUGGAACUGCUCCUACAGACUUUAUUGCUUUCAAUUCUGCAACAAAUGUAUCUUACUACUAAGGUAGUUAUGAACUGAACUUUCUCUGCAAUGACGCUGCUAUGGAUUUGAUUCCUUCAAUCAAGACUUGAACAACUUUACUUAUGAACUAUGUAAUUAUUGGAACAUUCUUUAUUGUAGUGUAUGACGUCAAAUCCACUGUCUAUUGUUUGAAAUAUGUCUGGUAUAUGUCUGGUAGUUUCUUCUGUGUUGGCCCUUAGUGUUUAAUCAUUGGGAUUGUGUCUGACAAAAAGAAAAGAAAGUGGGGGAAUGUGGAGUUAUAAAAUCAUGAUUAGAAUAAAUUAUAAAAUCAUGAUUAGAAAAAUAUACAAUUUCAAAGAAGAAUUACACAUUAAAUAUGCUAUUCAUAGAUAAAACAUUUAGAUAUAAAUUAAGAUAUAGAAUAUGGAAAAGUUAUAAAUUAAAUUAACUUAGAUAGGAUUAGUCAGUUUAGUUAGUAAUGGGUUAAAUAGUGUUUUAAAGACAAUGUAUUUAAAACUGUGACAUUUACAUUCAGUUGCUGUUGUCAAUCAAAACACCUAUACUGCUAGCUAGACACAUAGUAUUAUUAACACUCUAAUGCACUGCGCAUGAACAAGUUAAAAUAGUAUUUUCUAUAUGUCAGCCAAAAUUAUAAAGUCUUUUAAGGAAGUUAAAAUAUACAAAGAUAGCAUUUUCAUUUAUGGUAUGCUUUGAUUUCAUUGGCUUAAAAUGUGUAUAUAAGCUUUUCCUUUGUAUGAAGCUAUUGUUAUCUUCUACCUUCAGAUCUCAAGGUAUGUAAUUAAUCUUGCAGUGAUUAAUAAAUAGUUUAUGUCAACUAA